GCCCCAACAAGAGCACUUGCUGCAACAUCAGAUGCAAUUCCAACACUGCGGAACACAGCAGUAGAAUAAUACACCACAGCAUUUAUCCCAGCCAUUUGCUGGAAAAAGAAAAGUGCUACACCAACACUCACAACUGUCCAAUAGCGGCUGCUAAAUAGAUCAAACCAUCCUGCUUCUGGCUCUGCAGAACCUUGACCUCCAACUGCUAAAUCUUGCAUAACCUCAGCAACUCUUUCUUUUCCAUAGAGUGUCCUUAUGGACUUUUCCGCUUCAGAAAUUUUUCCUUGCUGAAAAAGCCAUC
rnacentral:misc_RNA from 1 species